rnacentral:rRNA from 1 species
CCUCUCACGCUUUUGUCAAGUUACGGUAGACCGCAACAAUUCUUAACGUGUGACAGCAGUUUACAACCCGAGGGCCUUCUUCCUGCACGCGGCGUCGCUCCGUCAGGCUUUCGCCCAUUGCGGAAGAUUCUCG